UCCCAGAAAAAUGGACGUGGACCAAGAACACUUGGGGAUCCAGCAAGUCCUUGCAUGAGAUAUUCAUAACAAUGCUACUGUUUUACGGAAUAACAAAUCCAGCGGAGUGGAACCGAAUUGGAGACUGUUAUCCGAAGAUAUUCAGCAUGAACCAAACAAAGAAAUAGGUACGAUAUCCGAUAUGGAUGGAUUCUCUCAGAUUUUGUUCUUAAAAAAUCAGAAUUUAAUAGCGUACCAGAUCCGGUGAACAAUAUUUGGUUAAGAAGAUAAUGAAAUCAAAAAGGCUACGUGAUAUUGCUCACUGCGAAUGGAAAGUAUGGUUAGUUAUGUGGAUUCUUUUUUGUUGAUCCACUUUCUAUUAUCCACUCAGAAAUUGGAGGCAUACCAUAUGGCACUCUUGCAAUCCUCCCAGAGGCAUACCAUAUGGGCGCAGCAUGGCCCUCCUAAACAACAUGAAGGGAGAGAACUGUUGGUUGUUUCUGAGACGCAGAAGAGAAAAUAGUAAGCAAGUAGGUUUGGUAAGCAAAUUGGGUUGCUCUAUUUAUGGUAUAAAUUACUUUCUUAUAUAUUUUUGAAUGUCAUAUGUUCAUCAGUCGUUCAUGUAUGAUACCUUUGUUUUUUUGAUGGUAGUCCUAGAUUAGAUGCUACUGUUAUUGCCUAUUGAUGAUAUGUCACUCAAAUUAAGAGCAAUACUGAUAUUACUGUACCUGCAAAUAACCCUGACUCACUGUAAUAGUGCCUCUAUUUGCUCCCCUCUUUGUUUUCAUUGCAACGUCGAUUUGGACUCACUAACAUAAUGAAAAUCACUUUGUCGGUCGUGACAUGGUGAUCUUAAUGGAAAGUUCUCGGUCUGUUUGUGAAAUAGUAUUUGAGUCUCAAGCAGUGGAAGGUAAAUACAGUUCUAAUCUCCCAUUUGAUGUUAUUAUGUUUCGUCACUCUUUUGUUGUCAAGGAUUGGGGUCAUGCUAAAAGAGAUGCAAAGGGGUCUAUUAACAACAAAGAAGGGUAUCAAACAGUCUAAUAUUACCAGGUCACAUUAACAGUCUGUAAUUAGGCAUCAAUGUACAAAGAGUUUAAUUAGGUGCUUCACAUUUGGUAACUUAAUUUAUCUAUUGGUGAGAUAUAAUGAACAAUCUAUAGUAUAACUUCAUUUUUCAGAAAACGGCCC